CGUGUGAGGGGCCCGGCCUGUGAGGGGCCCGGCCUGUGAGGGGCCCGGCCGUGUGAGGGGCCCGGCCUGUGAGGGGCCCCGCGCACAGCAGCGACAGCUUUGGGGCUACUAAAAGAUGAAUUAAAACCUUAGGAAAAGCCCUCUCUACUCCUAGAGAAGCUUCUUGGAGUCAGAGAACAGAAGUGGAACCAGCUGUAAGAGCCCUACCACUUACUCCUCCCCAAAGUCUACUGCCUGGAAUAGAGUGAGGAAGCUGGGCAUGCACAAGUUUGGAGGUGACACAUCCAGGCCUGCUGACCCCAACUGACACAAGGAUUAUUCCAUACUUUAUGACGUCACACUCAGUAUAUAAAGAAGGGGUAAGAAAGAGGAAGUGGGGGGAUGUUUGGAGUGAUGGCCUAGGUCUUCAGAAGUAACUGUCAGACGUGCUGGAGCCCUGCUAUCCUGGAGGUGGCUGGACACCUGACUGCUCAUGGAAGGUAGCAAAUGAAUUCCUUUGCUUUUGUAUGUGGCUUUUGCUUCACCUAUUAAACUGUCUUUAUCUCAACAUACAAGUCUUUUCACUUUUACCCUUCUGAUUCUAUCACAAGUAGAUAUCCCACCUCACUGGUGGGAGAGUGAGGGAGUGGCUGUGUGAGGCUUAGUUGUCCGCUGGGCUAAAACCACAACAGUCUUCUUGCACUUUCCAUUCGCUAUUCCCUAUUCUCACAGAUUCAGUGAGGAUUACAGACCAGAUGUACUCUGAAGAACAAAGUUCCUGUCUUUGUCCCCAUCCUUGAUCUCCAGGUUUUUGGAACAGUGGAGAACAGUGUGUUUUUCUUCUAGACAAAAUUAUAUAUGCCUGAAUUUCCUUUCCCUUAAGCCAGGCACUCCUGAUCUCCCAGUAUAGAUAGACAGAGCCUUAAAAACUUUAUGACAGUAACAAGAGAGAUUGGUCCCUGGCCUCCUUUAUACUCAAGCUGUUGCUGGAUCAUUACCCAAAUAAAUCACUGUAAAUUCUCUUAGGAUUAACAGAGCUUAGAUGUAAAGAAGAAUUUUGUGUCCCACUUUCAUACCAGUGGACAGUACUAUGGUAUAGUUCUCCUUUGCCACUUUUUUGUCAAGAUGCUUUUUUGCGAGAGGGUUUUUUAUUUUUUAUUUUUUUUUUCUCUUUAAAGAAUGAGUAAGAGGUUGACAUAAGGUGACAUUGCAGUGUCAAGUAUUUUAAAAUAUGAAUUCACUUCACUUGAAAGACUUAAGAGCCGUAAUUAAUAUCCUCUCUCUCUCUCUUCCUGCCCCCCCCAAAAAGAGAUAUCUUCCAGUCGAUGUAGUGGGCAGUAAGGUCUGGUAUUUGUUUAUUGUCAGGGGUUUUUCUGUGUAAAUCGUUUCUUUUCUUAUAUAUUUUGUUACCAAUAUUGUUGCUAUUACUGUUUUAUUUUGCUAAUACUGUUUGUUUGCUAAUCUCCUUGCUGUUUCCAGUAAAUUGUUCCUAUUUCAA